GAUGAACGCUGGCGGUGUGCCUUAGGCAUGCAAAUCGAGCGACGGCCCUUCGGGGUACGGAGCGGUGGACGGGUGAGUAACGCGUAGGAACCUACCCCUUGGCGGGGAAUAGCCAGCCGAAAGGUUGGGUAAUACCGCAUAAUCUCUUCGGAGCAAAGAGCAUAACUGCUCACCGAGGGAGGGGCCUGCGUCCUAUCAGCUUGUUGGUGAGGUAACGGCUCACCAAGGCAAUGACGGGUAGGGGGCGUGAGAGCGUGUUCCCCCACAAGGUCACUGAGACACGGGGCCUACACCUAAGGGUGGCAGCAACUAGGAAUAUUGCGCAAUGGGCGAAAGCCUGACGCAGCGACACCGCGUGUGGGAAGAAGCCUUUCGGGGUGUAAACCACUGUGGCAGGGGAAGAAGAUCUGACGGUACCCUGCUAGAAAGCACCUGCAAACUACGUGCCAGCAGCCGCGGUAAUACGUAGGGUGCAAGCGUUAUCCGGAAUUACUGGGCGUAAAGCGUACCGUAGGCGGUGUAAUGCGUCCGAUUUGAAAGCCCACGGCUCAACCGUGGAAACGGGUCGGAUACGAUUAGACUUGAGUAUGUUAGGGGAAGCCGGAAUUGACGGUGGAGGGGUGAAAUCCGUUGAUAUCGUUAGGAACACCAAGGGCGAAGGCAGGCUUCUGGGGCAUCACUGACGCUAAGGGACGAAAGCUAGGGUAGCAAACCGGAUUAGAGACCCGGGUAGUCCUAGCCGUAAACGAUGGAUACUAGCUGGUCCAGUUUUACUGGUCUGGCGUAAGCUAACGCGUUAAGUAUCCCGCCUGGGGAGUACGACCGCAAGGUUAAAACUCAAAGGAAUUGACGGGGAUCUGCACAACCAGUGGAGCAUGUGGUUUAAUUCGAGACAAAGCGAAGAACCUUACCUAGGUUUGACAUUCUACUGCGAAUUCGGUGAAAGCCGAACGUCCUUCGAGGGAGUAGAACAGCUGCUGCAUGGCUGUCGUCAGCUCGUGUCGUGAGACGUCCGCUUAAGUGCGGUAACGAGCGCAACCCUUAUCUUGUGUUACAUUUCACAAGAGACUGCCUUGUUACAAACAGGGAGGAAGGAGAGGAUGACGUCAAGUCAGCAUGGCGCUUACACCUAGGGCAACACACAUCCUACAAUGGCCACAACAACGGGUCGCGAUGGCGCGAGCCUUAGCCAAUCCUUAAAUGUGGUCUCAGUUCGAAUUGCAGGCUGAAAUUUGCCUGCAUGAAGUUGGAAUUGGUAGUAAUCGCGGGUCAGCAGACCGCGGUGAAUACGUUCUCAGAUCUUGUGCACACUGCCCGUCAAGCCAGCAAAGUCGGCAGCGCCCGAAGUGGAUUUUCUAACUUCGAGCAAUCGGAGAGGGAGUUCCCUAAGGCGAGGUCGGCGAUGAGG
rnacentral:rRNA from 1 species